rnacentral:miRNA from 1 species
GAGGGAAGCCGAGAGGAGAUGAUGGGAGGGAUGAGUAAUAAAAGUGAAAACUAAAACUAAAAACUGAAACUACUAGAAAUUAUUUUCACUUUCAAGUUUUUAUUUUUACUUUUGUUACUCCUCCCUCCCAUCCUCCCCUCUCAUUCAAACU